UUGCACCUCACCUGCUUAUAAGCUCCAGGCUGAUCUUCAUUCAACGCUGGGUCGUUGCUACAUUAUGUGAUUCCCUGCCUGAGAUCCAAAGCUGCCUCCACCAGAACCUGUCUGCCCGCUCACCACACCGCCUGGAUCCGUGAACCUUAACCAUCUUCAGCUUCGUUCAAGCCACACAAAUAAACCUUUUAAACUUA